rnacentral:rRNA from 1 species
GCAGUAGGGAAUAUUGGACAAUGGGGGCAACCCUGAUCCAGCAAUGCCGCGUGAGUGAUGAAGGCCUUAGGGUUGUAAAGCUCUUUUACCCGAGAUGAUAAUGACAGUAUCGGGAGAAUAAGCUCCGGCUAACUCCGUGCCAGCAGCCGCGGUAAUACGGAGGGAGCUAGCGUUGUUCGGAAUUACUGGGCGUAAAGCGCACGUAGGCGGCGAUUUAAGUCAGAGGUGAAAGCCCGGGGCUCAACCCCGGAACUGCCUUUGAGACUGGAUUGCUAGAAUCUUGGAGAGGCGAGUGGAAUUCCGAGUGUAGAGGUGAAAUUCGUAGAUAUUCGGAAGAACACCAGUGGCGAAGGCGGCUCGCUGGACAAGUAUUGACGCUGAGGUGCGAAAGCGUGGGGAGCAAACAGGAUUAGA